AAAAUUGGACCCUCUCUCUUAAUGGUACCUCUAGGAAAACGGUUACCAAGUGUACCUACUGCAAAGGAGGACCCUUUCUCUCCUACCACCGUACUAUAAAUAAGGGGGUUAAUGGAGAAGCAUUUUGCCACCUGAAGAGCUUCUCCACCACUAAUUUCUCCUCUAGCUGAUUAAGCUUUAGUUUCCUAUUCUCCUCCUCCUACUUAUGAUCUAAUCGUUUUCUCUUAUAGUUACUUUUUCUACUUGUUAUGCUUAAUUUGUGUUUUUGCUAUAGGAGUAUAUAGGAGGUAAAGAGGGGUAUGUAGUGAUGUUGUUGACAGAAGAUAGAGAGCACAGAUGAUGAGAUGCAUGGUGCCAUGCGCCUUACUUCUUUGUGCUCUCUAUGCUUCUGUCAUCAUCACCAUCGGCCCUAUCGAUUUCUAUUACUGUGCGCGGAGGCUAACGCAAGUUCUUUGUGUAUGUAUCUUUUUGCGAAUUAGCAUGGGAAAAUUGAGAGGUCUCUUUUGGUGUUCAGUGUUAUCAAAGGAGCAUGAUUCAUCUGCAGCAACUUCAUGAUCAAUUUAGGUUUGCUUCUUAUCCUCCCUUUUCUUCAAUAUCAUUUUGAAAAUUUGCACUAAGAACUUGUUGAUUUUGCCUUCCGGAAUACUUAUCCAUAUAUGAGUGAUGAAAUCGGAAAUUUUAUGCGUUUUCUCUUGAGAUCUUCUCUUAUGAUGCAAAUAAAAUUACUAAGUUCUGGUUAUAGCAAUUGAAGUAUUCGAGAGUGGUUAUUUGCUCUUAUGUUUCUAUUUGUCACUUGGGGGUACACAACCACAACAGUGCAAAUUGUACAGUGAUGAAAAACAAAUAUCCAACCCCAUACGCAGAUCAAAUUAACAAGUUUAAUUUCCUACCUAUUGUCUCAGUAGCAAGUGGUGAUGUAAUUGAUUCUUUUCUUCCAUCAUUCUAAAGCCCAUAAAAAACAAAUUGCAGUUCAUUUGUAAAAUUUCUUGUGUUACUAGUUUGUUUUUUUUUUUUGAGAGAAAGGUAGCAUGCUACCGCUUCAUUCAUUUAGAGGGUGAACUCAGCUACAGAAUGAGACAACCAGGUCUCGGAAGUGUUACUAGUUUGUUUCAUUUCAAUAGAUAGAACUUACCAUGCCUGACAAUUUUGCUUGAAGUAGUUUCUAGUCUUCUAGAUUAAUCUUAAUACUCUCACUAGAGAUUUAAUUUUUGUUGACAUUUCAAUGUUCCCAUGCCAUUUAGGGCCUUUUAGCAAACAUGUGAACCAUUUGGAGUACUUCUCAUACUUGUUGCAAAGCCUUAUAACUAGCCGACUAAUAUUUUCCAUGUGAUUAAUUAACAUGUUUACCAUUUGUAGGAUCAUUCUCAUAUACCCAAGCACAUAUAUUCAUCAUCGCUGAGUUAGACCGUUUGAGGUGUGAUAAAGGAUUUGGACAAUUUAGAUUGAAAUUAGGGUUUCGAGGAUCGCAGUGGUGCGGCGAGGUGAAAUGCGAUGGAUUUGGAGAUGAUGAGGGGGAAAGAAGUGGUGGGUGUGAGGGAAUGCGAUGGAUUUGGAGGUGACGAGGGGGAAAGAAGUGGUGGGUGUGAGGGAAUCCGUACGACAUCGACGUAGCCGUGAUUAAAGAGAAGCUCAACAUCGACAAUAACAGUAGAGGCAACGUGGAUAAUGGGAAUCGUCUCCCCGAUCUCGGCAGCGUGAUCAAGAUCUCUUCUUUACGGCAUGCGGCCGCCACCGCCUGGGCCGCCAAGACCGUCCGGCCCUCCGCCACCUCCUGGCCGACCUCCUGCUCCUCCGCCCGGCCCUCCUCACCGCCCGCCCGGCCCACCCGGCCCACCGCACCAUCCUCAUGGCCCACCAGGCCCAUGCGGCCCACCGGGCCCACCUCCUCUAUGAUCACACUUCUUAUAACUAGCUAGUUUUUUUUUACUAAUGUUAUACACUAUAGUACAAGAGAUGCUAGUGUGAGAAUUGAUGGUGAUGUGCAAUGUUUGAAUACCUAGCUAGUUGGGUGAGCCAUAUAUCAUAUAUAGGCUCAACUAAAUAAAUUGGCUUUUGAUUGUUGUGUUGUGUGUAAACAUUUUAGGGUAUGUUUGUGGAAUAAAAAGAGCUUAAUUUUGUGAUUU